rnacentral:rRNA from 1 species
UACGUAGGGUGCGAGCGUUAAUCGGAAUUAUUGGGCGUAAAGCGUGCGUAGGCGGCUUUGCAAGUCGGUUGUGAAAUCCCCGGGCUUAACCUGGGAAUGGCAUUUGGGACUGCAAGGCUCGAGUGCGGCAGAGGAGACUGGAAUUCCUGGUGUAGCAGUGAAAUGCGUAGAUAUCAGGAGGAACACCGAUGGCGAAGGCAGGUCUCUGGGCUGACACUGACGCUCAUGCACGAAAGCGUGGGGAGCAAACAGG